rnacentral:rRNA from 1 species
AAGUCGUAACAAGGUUUCCGUAGGUGAACCUGCGGAAGGAUCAUUACCAAAAGAUAAGUAUUUAUACUUACUCUAGCCGGUGUCUUGAUGGCACCGGUGCCCGUCCGCGGAUGGGGGAACACACUGCGAAGUGUGCGCCAAGGAAACUUAACUUACCCAUAAAAAUCAGUAAAAACAUAAAAGAACAACUGAUUGCCGUGGAUCACUCGGCUGAUGGAUUGAUGAAGAACGUAGCUAGCUACGAUAACUGGUGUGAAUUGCAGAGCACGAUAACCCAGAUUUUGAACGCACAUUGCGGUUGCACAGCAAUGUGUAACCCUCGGCUGUUCGAGUGUCGGAAUAUUACAUCAAUCAUAUUAUUGUUGUGCGCUUGACUAUGAAAUACUAGUGGAGUGCAAUCGGAUUGCAGCUUGGAUCAUUGACUGCGGUGCCUUGCGUGUCUGCAGUCUUGUGAAAAGUGCUGCGUAUCAUCGCGGAACCUUGUGUUCUGUCGACGGAUGCCAUCAGCAUCGGUUGCCGUCCAACGGUGAUCCGAUGUUAGACCUUCCCAAACACACAAAUUUGGUGUGAUCAUUUCUCGACCUCGCUCAGCGAAAGUACCCGCUGAACUUAA